GACAGGAAGUGGUGCAUAUGCCCAGGGACAAAGCCAAGUUGAGGAGCAGAACCACAGUAGCUUGAGGAAGGAAUAGAAAUAAGCUUCAAAUGAAAUAGGCUUUCGAUGUGACAGUGUUUACAGGAAACAUUAUGCUGUUACGAACUUCCCUUAGAAUCAACCCAUUUGUGAAACACCACAUUAAUAAGAGCAGUAUCUUUGGAGAUUGGAGAGUCCACCAAGGAUGCCCACUGGCUCCCUACAAAGUUUUUUAUGUGAGGACUCGGUCUCAGGUUCAGCAUCACAAUCUUAUUAAGGAUAGAGAAAUAACUUGAGAUUCUGAGAAGAAAAAUAAAUAGCUCAGAAGUGGAAGAGAUGUGCCUUGACUCAGAUGAGACUUUGGACUUGGACUUUUGAGUUAAUUCUGGAAUGAGUUAAAACUUUAGGGGACUGUUGGGAAGGCAUUAUUGUGUUUUAAAUGUGAAAAGAACAUGAGGUAUGGGAGGGGUCAGGGGUGGAAUGAUAUGGUUUGGCUCUGUGUCCCCACCCAAAUCUCAUGUCAAAUUUUAAUCCCCAGUGUUGGUGGAGGAGCCUAGUGAGAGGUGACUGAAUCACAGGGGCAGACUUCCUCCUUGUUUCUCUUGUGAUAGUGAGUGAGUUCUCAUGAACUCUGGUUGUUGUAAAGUGUGUGGCACCUUUCCCUUCACUCUCUCUCUUCCUCCUGCUCUUGCCGUGAGAAUAAGUGCAUGCUUCCCCUCCUGCCAUGGGAAUAAGUGCAUGCUUCCCCUCCUGCCAUGAGAACAAGUGCAUGCUUCUCCUUUUGCCUUCUACCAUGUUUGAAAGUUUCCUGAAGCCUCUCCAGCCAUGCUCCCUGUGCAGCCUGCAGAACUAUGAGCCAAUUAAACAUGUUUUUGUAUAUAAAUUACCCAAUCUUAAGUAGUUCUUUAUAGCAACACAAGAAUAAACUCAUACAACCCCCAUUAUCAUUCAGCUAAAUAUGGUUGGGUUUUUGGAGCCUCAAGCAUGAAGGUGAACUGGCUAUGGCUAUACCAGCCUGAAAGGAUUGAACUCUCCCCUGGAAUCCCAGAACAAAUUCCUUCAACUGAAAAUGUCUCUCCUGUCUCGAGGAGCAAGUCCCCACAAAUUUAUUUUCUCACUUUCAUCCAAACUCUGAUAAUUCUGGAAAGAAGACCAAAGAUUUGUCAAUAACAGGCACUCUUAGGGCAGUGUCUGUUCCCUGAGCUGAUCAUAGGAGCAUGUUGGGAAAUUUCAUCAAAUGUAAAAUCAAAGCCUUGUAUUAGACUUAGCAAAAGUUAGCCGUUGGCAAAUUGUGAAAUUGGUUAAGUAUGCCUGUGGCACCUUCCCACUUUCAUAAUUAAUUUUUAUGCCCUCCCACUUGGCUCUUAUAACCCUACAAGUACAAAUAAUUGGUCAUUUGUGUGACUUUCUGUUUAUUGCAUGUCUCUAUUUAACUUGCUAUAAUUUGCAUAUGUGUGGAGACUACACUUGUCUUUUUGGCUACUAUAUCCUUCUGUCCCCUAAUAUUGUACCUGAUUAUGGAAUACGCCAAUUUAUUAAAUGAAUAAAGUUUUUUUAAAUAUCUUGACCCCUUUUUGGAACAUUAUAUAGCACAAAAAUAAUUGUUCAGUGACUGUACCUUAACUGAAUGGAUUGUAUGAGUAAUGGAAGUGGUUAAGAUAUGAAUCACUCUGGGAUUGCAUUUCCACAAAACUUUUCCAAGACCUAUCAUAAGAGGGAGGGAAGAGUGAGACCUCCCAAUACACUGUAUAUUUACAAGAACUGCAAAACUUUCAAUGGUAUGUUUCUUUACUUGUAGCAGGCUUUAGGUUUCAACCUGUUCUCUCUAAUGCCUGCCACUGUCUACCUCAUCUCUGUGACUUCUGUCUCCAUGUAGUUGGCUGUGAAAUAGGAUGCAGUUUCUUCUUCUUCCCUUGCUAUUUUUGUUUAAUGGACACAAGUCCCUAUUUAAUCACCUGGAAAAGCUACCAGAAGGGGAAGAAAGCAAGCCACAUUGAGAGUAUACACUACUCUUACUAAUAUAAUCUUAGGCCAUUUGUACUGUUUUUGUUUCUGGGCCAUAUUGUAAACUCUUUGGUAUGGAACAAUAAUAAUCAAAAUUGCUUACAUGUAUUGAGUACAUGUUAUUUAUUAUACUCAUUUGACACUUUAAACUGUUUUGUCAUUUAGUCUCAAAAUGGUUUGGAUUUACAAAUGAGUACACUGAGGCUCAAAAAGGAGUA
rnacentral:lncRNA from 1 species